AGCUCCAGUAGCGUAUAUUAAAGUUGUUGCAGUUAAAAAGCUCGUAGUUGAACUUUGGGUCUGGUUGGCCGGUCCGAUUUUAUGUCGCGCACUGGUUUUCAACCGGAUCUUUCCUUCUGGCUAACCUGUACUCCUUGUGGGUGCAGGCGAACCAGGACUUUUACUUUGAAAAAAUUAGAGUGUUCAAAGCAGGCGAAAGCUCGAAUAUAUUAGCAUGGAAUAAUGAAAUAGGACGUUUGGUUCUAUUUUGUUGGUUUCUAGGACCAUCGUAAUGAUUAAUAGGGACGGUCGGGGGCAUCAGUAUUCAAUUGUCAGAGGUGAAAUUCUUGGAUUUAUUGAAGACUAACUACUGCGAAAGCAUUUGCCAAGGACGUUUUCA
rnacentral:rRNA from 1 species